CCUACGGGAGGCAGCAGUGAGGAAUAUUUGUCAAUGGGCGAGAGCCUGAACCAGCCAAGUCGCGUGAGGGAGUACUGCCCUAUGGGUUGUAAACCUCUUUUGUCGGGGCGCAAAAGCCGGACGUGUCCGGCUGUGAGCGUACCCGAAGAAAACGCAUCGGCUACCUCCGUGCCAGCAGCCGCGUUAAUACGGAGGAUGCGAGCGUUAUCCGGAUUUAUUGGGGUUAAAGGGUGCGCAGGCGGAUUUUUAAGUCAGCGGUCAAAGCGUGGGGCUCAAACCCAUCCAGCCGUUGAAACUGGGGAUCUAGAGUGUGCGAGAGGUAUGCGGAAUGCGUGGUGUAGCGGUGAAAUGCAUAGAUAUCACGCAGAACCCCGAUUGCGAAGGCAGCAUACCGGUGCACAACUGACGCUCAGGCACGAAAGCGUGGGUAUCGAACAGGAUUAGAUACCCGGGUAGUC
rnacentral:rRNA from 1 species